UACGUAGGGGGCUAGCGUUGUCCGGAAUCAUUGGGCGUAAAGAGCGUGUAGGCGGUCCGGUAAGUCCGCUGUGAAAGUCGGGGGGCUCAACCCUCGAAUGCCGGUGGAUACUGUCGGGCUAGAGUGCGGAAGAGGCGAGUGGAAUUCCUGGUGUAGCGGUGAAAUGCGCAGAUAUCAGGAGGAACACCUAUGCGAAGGCAGCUCGCUGGGACGUAACUGACGCUGGAGACGCGAAAGCGUGGGGAGCAAACAGG
rnacentral:rRNA from 1 species